rnacentral:lncRNA from 1 species
AAUCACGACUCAGAGUUUUGUUCAGAAGAAAAAAAAACGGCAAAAGCGAAACUGAAAGAUGAAAACAGCAACUGAUUAAGACUGGUUGUCUGGAUUCUGCGAUGAUACUCAUUCCACUCGUGCUUUCUUAGCGGCGUUAUCUUCCGCAGCAUCGUCUUCAUUCGUUUCUGCUUCACGACCUGCGGUGGACACCUCUGCAACAUCGGACGUGAUUGCAGCUCUGUCAUCUGUUCCCGGUGCCACAUUCUGAAGAUGGACUUGCUGCCGAUGCAUCAGUCUUCUCCUUUGGAGAUGAGGAAGAAGACUAUGAAAGCGACUGAGCUUGAGAAUUCAAGUUUUACCAUAUACACAGUUUACACACACAAGUAAAACAUUUUUUGUAUGGACUCUGUUUCUAUAUA